rnacentral:tRNA from 1 species
AAGGCAUUGGCGGAAGGCCACAAGCCGCUUGAUCCUUCCGGGGUCAACAUUGGUAUCGGCGGUCAUGACUUGCCGAUGCUCAUC